UACAGAGGUCCCAAGCGUUGUUCGGAUUCAUUGGGCGUAAAGGGUGCGUAGGCGGCGCGGUAAGUCGGGUGUGAAAUCUCGGAGCUUAACUCCGAAACUGCAUUCGAUACUGCCGUGCUUGAGGACUGGAGAGGAGACUGGAAUUUACGGUGUAGCGGUGAAAUGCGUAGAUAUCGUAAGGAAGACCAGUGGCGAAGGCGGGUCUCUGGACAGUUCCUGACGUGAGGCACGAAGGCUAGGGGAGCAAACGGG
rnacentral:rRNA from 1 species